UAUAAAUGCUUACUUACUACGUCACACA
rnacentral:sRNA from 1 species